rnacentral:misc_RNA from 1 species
AAAGAAACUAGUAAUAAACAAGCUACCAACAGAACAGCACAGUUCAUAUUCUCGGGUUGCUGCUCACCUGCCAACCAACACUUUGGCUUCCUUCCUCUUGAAGCUGGUGGGUCAUCCCUGAGUGGGGAAUUGGGAGUAUUGGUGGGGUGCCUGAGAUAGAACGAUGAGGAGACGGGGGAGAGAGGGAAGAUGUUGAUUGGUGGUUCAAUGGACCAUGGGAGAUGGAACACUAACUGCUCUUUCCUACUCUAAUUAUUUUCAAAUGGCAUUUCUAUCACAUUGCGAUUAGUACAAUAUGGUAUAUGAUGAUGUCAUUAUAUGGUUAUCUGAU